UUGAAGUCGUGCUUUAGGUCCGCUCGCAAAGUCAAAUCCACCUAUACAGCCGCCACCUCAUAUAGAUGAACAUUCGCUACAUGCUAACGAUCAAAGAGCAUGCUUCCUUCUGCACCUCCACUCAUCGUUUCAGCAGAAUGGGAUACUUCCGUAGGCCAAUGAUGUCAGCACACCGGCAUACCAG